GACGUAGGGCGCGAGCGUUGUCCGGAUUUAUUGGGCGUAAAGAGCUCGUAGGCGGCUUGUCGCGUCGUCCGUGAAAACCUGCGGCUCAACUGCAGGCUGGCGGUCGAUACGGGCAGGCUAGAGUGUGGUAGGGGAGAUCGGAAUUCCUGGUGGUAGCGGUGAAAUGCGCAGAUAUCAGGAGGAACACCGGUGGCGAAGGCGGAUCUCUGGGCCAUUACUGACGCUGAGGAGCGAAAGCGUGGGGAGCGAACAGG
rnacentral:rRNA from 1 species